rnacentral:rRNA from 1 species
CUGACCUCGGAUCAGGUAGCAACC